UCUAGAUCCGUGCCAGCGUCGGGGGUAAGACGGAGGAUCCAAUGGUGAGCCGGAAUCAUUGGGUUUAAAGGGUCAGUAGGCGGCCUUAUAAGUCAGCGGUGAAAGUUUUUGGCUUAACCAAAAAAUUGCCAUUGAUACUGUAGGGCUUGAAUAUUUGUGAAGUAACUAGAAUAUGUAGUGUAGCGGUGAAAUGCUUAGAUAUUACAUGGAAUACCAAUUGCGAAGGCAGGUUACUAACAAAUGAUUGACGCUGAUGGACGAAAGCGUGGGUAGCGAACAGGAUUAGAUACCCGAGUAGUC
rnacentral:rRNA from 1 species